rnacentral:rRNA from 1 species
UUUAUGGAGAGUUUGAUCCUGGCUCAGGAUGAACGCUGGCGGCGUGCCUAAUACAUGCAAGUCGAGCGAACGGACGAGAAGCUUGCUUCUCUGAUGUUAGCGGCGGACGGGUGAGUAACACGUGGAUAACCUACCUAUAAGACUGGGAUAACUUCGGGAAACCGGAGCUAAUACCGGAUAAUAUUUUGAACCGCAUGGUUCAAAAGUGAAAGACGGUCUUGCUGUCACUUAUAGAUGGAUCCGCGCUGCAUUAGCUAGUUGGUAAGGUAACGGCUUACCAAGGCAACGAUGCAUAGCCGACCUGAGAGGGUGAUCGGCCACACUGGAACUGAGACACGGUCCAGACUCCUACGGGAGGCAGCAGUAGGGAAUCUUCCGCAAUGGGCGAAAGCCUGACGGAGCAACGCCGCGUGAGUGAUGAAGGUCUUCGGAUCGUAAAACUCUGUUAUUAGGGAAGAACAUAUGUGUAAGUAACUGUGCACAUCUUGACGGUACCUAAUCAGAAAGCCACGGCUAACUACGUGCCAGCAGCCGCGGUAAUACGUAGGUGGCAAGCGUUAUCCGGAAUUAUUGGGCGUAAAGCGCGCGUAGGCGGUUUUUUAAGUCUGAUGUGAAAGCCCACGGCUCAACCGUGGAGGGUCAUUGGAAACUGGAAAACUUGAGUGCAGAAGAGGAAAGUGGAAUUCCAUGUGUAGCGGUGAAAUGCGCAGAGAUAUGGAGGAACACCAGUGGCGAAGGCGACUUUCUGGUCUGUAACUGACGCUGAUGUGCGAAAGCGUGGGGAUCAAACAGGAUUAGAUACCCUGGUAGUCCACGCCGUAAACGAUGAGUGCUAAGUGUUAGGGGGUUUCCGCCCCUUAGUGCUGCAGCUAACGCAUUAAGCACUCCGCCUGGGGAGUACGACCGCAAGGUUGAAACUCAAAGGAAUUGACGGGGACCCGCACAAGCGGUGGAGCAUGUGGUUUAAUUCGAAGCAACGCGAAGAACCUUACCAAAUCUUGACAUCCUUUGACAACUCUAGAGAUAGAGCCUUCCCCUUCGGGGGACAAAGUGACAGGUGGUGCAUGGUUGUCGUCAGCUCGUGUCGUGAGAUGUUGGGUUAAGUCCCGCAACGAGCGCAACCCUUAAGCUUAGUUGCCAUCAUUAAGUUGGGCACUCUAAGUUGACUGCCGGUGACAAACCGGAGGAAGGUGGGGAUGACAUCAAAUCAUCAUGCCCCUUAUGAUUUGGGCUACACACGUGCUACAAUGGACAAUACAAAGGGCAGCGAAACCGCGAGGUCAAGCAAAUCCCAUAAAGUUGUUCUCAGUUCGGAUUGUAGUCUGCAACUCGACUACAUGAAGCUGGAAUCGCUAGUAAUCGUAGAUCAGCAUGCUACGGUGAAUACGUUCCCGGGUCUUGUACACACCGCCCGUCACACCACGAGAGUUUGUAACACCCGAAGCCGGUGGAGUAACCUUUUAGGAGCCAGCCGUCGAAGGUGGGACAAAUGAUUGGGGUGAAGUCGUAACAAGGUAGCCGUAUCGGAAGGUGCGGCUGGAUCACCUCCUUU